rnacentral:rRNA from 1 species
CUUGGUCAUUUAGAGGAAGUAAAAGUCGUAACAAGGUCUCCGUUGGUGAACCAGCGGAGGGAUCAUUACCGAGUUUACAACUCCCAAACCCCUGUGAACAUACCACUUGUUGCCUCGGCGGAUCAGCCCGCUCCCGGUAAAACGGGACGGCCCGCCGGAGGACCCCUAAACUCUGUUUCUAUAUGUAACUUCUGAGUAAAACCAUAAAUAAAUCAAAACUUUCAACAACGGAUCUCUUGGUUCUGGCAUCGAUGAAGAACGCAGCAAAAUGCGAUAAGUAAUGUGAAUUGCAGAAUUCAGUGAAUCAUCGAAUCUUUGAACGCACAUUGCGCCCGCCAGUAUUCUGGCGGGCAUGCCUGUUCGAGCGUCAUUUCAACCCUCAAGCACAGCUUGGUGUUGGGACUCGCGUUAAUUCGCGUUCCUCAAAUUGAUUGGCGGUCACGUCGAGCUUCCAUAGCGUAGUAGUAAAACCCUCGUUACUGGUAAUCGUCGCGGCCACGCCGUUAAACCCCAACUUCUGAAUGUUGACCUCGGAUCAGGUAGGAAUACCCGCUGAACUUAAGCAUAUCAAUAAGCGGAGGA